rnacentral:rRNA from 1 species
CCUACGGGAGGCAGCAGUGGGGAAUAUUGGGCAAUGGAGGAAACUCUGACCCAGCGACGCCGCGUGCGGGAUGAAGGCCUUCGGGUUGUAAACCGCUUUCAGUAGGGAAGAAGCGAAAGUGACGGUACCUACAAAAGAAGCACCGGCUAACUAUGUGCCAGCAGCCGCGGUAAUACAUAGGGUGCAAGCGUUGUCCGGAAUUAUUGGGCGUAAAGAGCUCGUAGGUCGUUUGUUACGUCGGAUGUGAAAACCUGAGGCUCAACCUCAGGCCUGCAUUCGAUACGGGCAAACUAGAGUUUGGUAGGGGAGACUGGAAUUCCUGGUGUAGCGGUGGAAUGCGCAGAUAUCAGGAGGAACACCAAUGGCGAAGGCAGGUCUCUGGGCCAAUACUGACACUGAGGAGCGAAAGUCUGGGGAGCGAACAGGAUUAGAUACCCUGGUAGUCCAGACCGUAAACGGUGGGCACUAGUUGUGGGAACCUUCCACGGUUUCUGCGACGCAGCUAACGCAUUAAGUGCCCCGCCUGGGGAGUACGAUCGCAAGAUUAAAACUCAAAUGAAUUGACGGCUGNGAGNGCGAGACGACACGAGGAGAG